rnacentral:rRNA from 1 species
GGCGGACGGGUGAGGAAUACAUCGGAAUCUGCCCAGUCGUGGGGGAUAACAUAGGGAAACUUAUGCUAAUACCGCAUACGACCUACGGGUGAAAGCGGGGGAUCGCAAGACCUCGCGCGAUUGGAUGAGCCGAUGUCCGAUUAGCUAGUUGGCGGGGUAAUGGCCCACCAAGGCGACGAUCGGUAGCUGGUCUGAGAGGAUGAUCAGCCACACUGGAACUGAGACACGGUCCAGACUCCUACGGGAGGCAGCAGUGGGGAAUAUUGGACAAUGGGCGCAAGCCUGAUCCAGCCAUGCCGCGUG